rnacentral:rRNA from 1 species
UGAGGAAUAUUGCACAAUUAGCGCAAGCUAGAUGCAGCAACGCCGCGUGGACGAUGAAGGCCUUCGGGUUGUAAAGUCCUUUUGAGAGGGACGAGUAAGGACGGUACCUCUUGAAUAAGUCUCGGCUAACUACGUGCCAGCAGCCGCGGUAACACGUAGGAGGCAAGCGUUAUCCGGAUUCAUUGGGCGUAAAGCGCACGCAGGUGGUUGGGUAAGUCGGGUGUGAAAGCCCCAGACUCAAUCUGGGGAGGUCAUUCGAUACUGCUCAACUUGAGAGCGGGAGAGGGAAGCGGAAUUCUGGGUGUAGUGGUGAAAUGCGUAGAUAUCCAGAGGAACACCAGUGGCGAAAGCGGCUUCCUGGCCCGUUUCUGACACUCAGGUGCGAAAGCGUGGGGAGCGAACGGAAUUAGAAACUCCGGUAGUCCACGCUGUAAACGGUGGGUACUGGGUGUGGGGAGUACUGACCCUCUCUGUGCCGAAGCUAACGCGUUAAGUACCCCGCCUGGGGACUACGGCCGCAAGGCUA